AAAUCUCCUCUAGCAGCCUUCAAAUGAAGAUGUGGAACUCUCAGCUCUGCCUAGAUGCUACCAUGCUCCCACUUGAUGAUAAUGGACUGAACCUCUGAAUCUGCACAACAUGGUCAUCCCAUGGCCUUUUUGGAGUAGAGAUAACCCUGGCCCGGUAACCAUGGCAAUAGAUUUCCAUUUUUGCUAGGCCUGCGUUAAAGUCACAUUUAGUCCAAGAAGCAGUGUGAGCAACAUUUCCCCAUGGACAAUCGAGACCUGGCCAGCUUCAAUCAUCAUAUGGGGACAGUGAUAAAGGAUUUUAAUCAUGACAAUCACCUGGUACAAGGGAAAAUGACUAGAAACCAAGUCCACAAAUGGGAAGCAGUUAAGCAAGGGGUAAAAUGUAAAUCUAUCCAAUAAAUUGUACAGGAUUAUGCU